rnacentral:rRNA from 1 species
UGCCAGACUCCUACGGGAGGCAGCAGUGAGGAAUAUUGGUCAAUGGCCGAGAGGCUGAACCAGCCAAGUCGCGUGAGGGAGGACGGCCCUACGGGUUGUAAACCUCUUUUGUCAGGGAGCAAGGGACAGGUCGUGACCUGUUGUGAGAGUACCUGAAGAAAAAGCAUCGGCUAACUCCGUGCCAGCAGCCGCGGUAAUACGGAGGAUGCGAGCGUUAUCCGGAUUUAUUGGGUUUAAAGGGUGCGUAGGCGGGAUGCAAAGUCAGCGGUAAAAAUGCGGUGCUCAACGCCGUCGAGCCGUUGAAACUGGCGUUCUUGAGUGGGCGAGAAGUAUGCGGAAUGCGUGGUGUAGCGGUGAAAUGCAUAGAUAUCACGCAGAACUCCGAUUGCGAAGGCAGCAUACCGGCGCCCUACUGACGCUGAGGCACGAAAGCGUGGGUAUCGAACAGGAUUAGAUACCCUCGUA